rnacentral:rRNA from 1 species
GCGCAGAGAGAUGAGCCGACGCCGGAUUAGCUAGUUGGCGGGGUAAAGGCCCACCAAGGCGACGAUCCAUAGCUGGUCUGAGAGGAUGAUCAGCCACACUGGGACUGAGACACGGCCCAG